UCGGUAUGGGAUGGGGUCGCGUCCUAUCAGGUAGUCGGCGGGGUAACGGCCCACCGAGCCUACGACGGGUAGCCGGCCUGAGAGGGCGACCGGCCACAUUGGGACUGAGAUACGGCCCAGACUCCUACGGGAGGCAGCAGUGGGGAAUAUUGCACAAUGGGCGCAAGCCUGAUGCAGCGACGCCGCGUGCGGGAUGACGGCCUUCGGGUUGUAAACCGCUUUUGAUCGGGAGCAAGCCUUCGGGUGAGUGUACCUUUCGAAUAAGCACCGGCUAACUACGUGCCAGCAGCCGCGGUAAUACGUAGGGUGCAAGCGUUAUCCGGAAUUAUUGGGCGUAAAGGGCUCGUAGGCGGUUCGUCGCGUCCGGUGUGAAAGUCCAUCGCUUAACGGUGGAUCUGCGCCGGGUACGGGCGGGCUGGAGUGCGGUAGGGGAGACUGGAAUUCCCGGUGUAACGGUGG
rnacentral:rRNA from 1 species